rnacentral:rRNA from 1 species
UUAUCGGAGAGUUUGAUCCUGGCUCAGGACGAACGCUGGCGGCGUGCCUAAUACAUGCAAGUCGAGCGGACAGAUGGGAGCUUGCUCCCUGAUGUUAGCGGCGGACGGGUGAGUAACACGUGGGUAACCUGCCUGUAAGACUGGGAUAACUCCGGGAAACCGGGGCUAAUACCGGAUGCUUGUUUGAACCGCAUGGUUCAAACAUAAAAGGUGGCUUCGGCUACUACUUACAGAUGGACCCGCGGCGCAUUAGCUAGUUGGUGAGGUAAUGGCUCACCAAGGCGACGAUGCGUAGCCGACCUGAGAGGGUGAUCGGCCACACUGGGACUGAGACACGGCCCAGACUCCUACGGGAGGCAGCAGUAGGGAAUCUUCCGCAAUGGACGAAAGUCUGACGGAGCAACGCCGCGUGAGUGAUGAAGGUUUUCGGAUCGUAAAGCUCUGUUGUUAGGGAAGAACAAGUACCGUUCGAAUAGGGCGGUACCUUGACGGUACCUAACCAGAAAGCCACGGCUAACUACGUGCCAGCAGCCGCGGUAAUACGUAGGUGGCAAGCGUUGUCCGGAAUUAUUGGGCGUAAAGGGCUCGCAGGCGGUU